rnacentral:rRNA from 1 species
UACGUAUGGUGCAAGCGUUAUCCGGAUUUACUGGGUGUAAAGGGAGCGCAGGCGGCGCGCUAAGCCUGAUGUGAAAGCCCGCGGCCCAACCGCGGGACUGCAUUGGGAACUGGCGCGCUGGAGUGCCGGAGGGGUAGGCGGAAUUCCUAGUGUAGCGGUGAAAUGCGUAGAUAUUAGGAGGAACACCAGUGGCGAAGGCGGCCUACUGGACGGUGACUGACGCUGAGGCUCGAAAGCGUGGGGAGCAAACA